GACGAACGCUGGCGGCGUGCUUAACACAUGCAAGUCGAACGGAAAGGCACUGCUUUUGUGGGGUGCUCGAGUGGCGAACGGGUGAGUAACACGUGAGUAACCUGCCCUUGACUUUGGGAUAACUUCAGGAAACUGGGGCUAAUCCCGGACAGGAGCUCCUGCUGCAUGGAGGGGGUUGGAAAGUCGCUGCGGUUGUGGAUGGACGCGCGGCUGAUCAGCUUGUUGGUGGGGUAGUGGCUUACCAAGGCUUGGACGGGUAGCCGGCCUGAGAGGGUGACCGGGCACCUUGGGACUGAGAUACGGCCCAGACUCCUACGGGAGGCAGCAGGGGGGAGUCUUGCACAAUGGGCGGAAGCCUGAUGCAGCAACGCCGCGUGCGGGAUGACGGCCUUCGGGUUGUAAACCGCUUUCGCCUGUGACGAAGCGUUAGUGACGGUAAUGAGUAAAUAAGCACCGGCUAACUACGUG
rnacentral:rRNA from 1 species